GCCUCGUGGCCUAACGGGUAAGGUGUUGGUAUUCUGAACCAAAAAUUGGGGGUUCGAGUCGCACCGAGAGCA
rnacentral:tRNA from 1 species